CUCCUAGCCCAGGGCCAAGUCACCGAGGCAGAGGAACUUCUUCAAAAUCUGUUUCAGCAGUCCCUGUCUGGGCCCCAGGCCUCAGUGGGGCUUGAGCUGGGCAGCGGAGUGACGGUCUCCAGCGGGCAGGGUAUCCCACCCCCUACCCGGGGGAAUAGCAAGCCGCUUUCCUGCUUCGUGGCCCCGGACUCCGGCCGCCUGCCAUCCAUCCCUGAGAACGUGAGUGGGGAGGGGUCUCUGGGGGUGAGAACAGGUCCCGAAACCCGGACCAGGGAUGCAAGAUCCAGGGGCCCGUCCACGCCCAGCGCGACUCUCUGAUCCUCAGAGGAACCUAACGGAGCUGGUGGUGGCCGUGACUGACGAGAACAUCGUGGGGCUGUUCGCGGCGCUCCUGGCCGAGAGAAGAGUCCUGCUCACCGCCAGCAAACUCAGCACCGGGUUCGAGUUGUCACUCAUUAUCCAGCAGUGGAUGGGGAGGGGGAAC
rnacentral:sRNA from 1 species